rnacentral:rRNA from 1 species
UACGUAGGGGGCGAGCGUUGUCCGGAUUUAUUGGGCGUAAAGAGCUCGUAGGCGGCUUAGCAAGUCGGGUGUGAAAUCUCCAGGCUCAACCUGGAGGGGCCACCCGAUACUGCUGUGGCUUGAGUCCAGUAGGGGAGCAUGGAAUUCCCGGUGUAGCGGUGAAAUGCGCAGAUAUCGGGAGGAACACCAGUGGCGAAGGCGGUGCUCUGGGCUGGAACUGACGCUGAUGGACGAAAGCGUGGGUAGCAAACAGG